GUUUACUUAAUUAAUUAAUUUCUACACUUAAUUUAAUUAUCAUCAGCCACUCCUGAAACUAUCUUCUCCAGAUUCGUUGGUGUUCACAGAGAAACAAAAAUGGCUAAUGUUGAAAGACGAUCUCUUGUUGAUUCAAGAAGUGGUUUUUGUAGAUCGAACUCUACGUUCUAUAGUAAACGCAACCCCAUUAGCCUCCCCGCGAGUCCAUCUCUCGACGUCACAACUUUCAUCUCUUGUCAGACGCACCGUGGCACCACCGCCUUCAUAGACGCUGCCACUGGCCAACGGUUAAGCUUCCCCGAACUCUGGAGAGCCGUUGACCGUGUCGCGGAAUGUCUCCACCGUGAAGUCGGAUUACGUAGAGGCGACGUCAUCCUCAUCCUUUCCCCGAACUCAUUUUACAUCCCCAUCGUAUGCCUCGCGGUCAUGUCUCUCGGCGCCGUCGUCACCACCGCGAACACUCUCAGCACCGCCGGUGAGAUAUCCAAACAAAUCGCCGAUAGUAAACCAACACUCGCCUUCACCACGGCUCAGCUGGCACACAAACUCCCCGCCGGUAUCUCCAUCGUCCUCACCGAGGAGGAGCACGUGGAGCCGACAGGCGGAGUCAGAGUCGUUGGUGUUUUGUCUGAGAUGAUGAAAAAAGAACCGAGUGGGCAGCGAGUCAGAGACCGAGUCAACCAGGAGGAUACGGCGGUGAUGCUUUACUCUUCCGGUACCACAGGAGCGAGCAAAGGUGUUAUCUCCUCUCACCGGAACUUGACGUCCUACGUGGCGAAAAUGGUCGCGAAGGAAUCGCUGGAAGACAAGAUUCUGAUCUGCACCGUUCCAAUGUUCCACACAUUCGGAUUACUCAAGUUCGCUAUGGCCACCGUAGCUAUUGGUUCGACGGUGGUGAUCCUCCGGAGAUUCGAGCUGAACGACAUGUUGGCCGCGGUAGAGAAGUACAGAGCCACGGCUCUCAUUCUGGCGCCGCCGGUUAUUGUGGUUAUGACCAACGAAGCAGAUAUAAUCAAGGAGAAGUGUGAUCUGAGCUCCCUGAAAAAUGUGACGUGUGGUGGAGCGCCGUUGAGCAAGGAGGUGACGGAGGGGUUUUUAAAGAAAUAUCCGACGGUGCAUGUACUUCAGGCGUAUGCGUUGACGGAAUCAAACGGCGGAGGAGCUUAUAUGGAUAUGGUGGGCAGCCGGAGGUAUGGUACGGUGGGGACGUUGACGCCUGAUGUGGAGGCGAGGAUCGUGGAUCCGAAUACGGGUCGGUUACUGGGAACUAACCAAACAGGCGAACUGUGGCUCAAGGGCCCGUCCAUUUCAAAAGGUUAUUUCAAAAACCAAGAAGCUACAAGUGAAACCUUCAAUCUAGAAGGAUGGCUAAAAACUGGAGAUCUUUGCAAAAUCGAUGACGAUGGGUUUCUUUAUGUUGUGGAUCGACUGAAAGAACUGAUCAAAUACAAAGGCUAUCAGGUGGCUCCGGCUGAACUAGAAGCUCUCCUGAUCACUCAUCCAGACAUUCUUGAUGCCGCUGUUAUUCCUGUUAUUGUGGAAGGUUUCCUGAUAAAGAAGCAGGACAAUAUCCAAUGGCUUACGUGACACGGAAGCUUGGGAGCAAUAUCUCUGAGAAACAAGUUAUUGACUUCAUCUCUAAACAGGUGGCGCCGUAUAAGAAAAUAAGAAAGGUCGCAUUUAUAAACUCCAUACCAAAGACGGCAUCCGGCAAAAUACUUCGCAAAGAUCUAAUCAUGCUGCCCAGUUCUAAGCUUUGAAAUGAUCUAUAUUUGCUAGACUCUCACUAUCACUGAUUUUCUGUUUUCAAUAAGAGAGAGUGUUUGUAAUAAUGUUGAAUAAUUUAAAUAGGAGACUUAUUAGGGAUAUAUAUCCCGCAUCGGGAA